rnacentral:rRNA from 1 species
GGGUCAGUAGGUCGGUCGUGCCACCGGUACGUACUGGUCUCACUGAUUCCUCCUUCCUGAAGAACCGUAAUGCCAUUAAUUUGGUGUUGCGGGGAAACAGGACUGUUACUUUGAAAAAAUUAUAGUGUUUAAAGCAAGCUAACGCUUGAAUACAUUAGCAUGGAAUAAUGAAAUAGGACGAUCGAUCCUAUUUUGUUGGUUUCUAGGAUUGACGUA